AUUGAACGCUGGCGGCAGGCUUAACACAUGCAAGUCGAACGAGUGGCGGACGGGUGAGUAAUGUCUGGGAAACUGCCUGAUGGAGGGGGAUAACUACUGGAAACGGUAGCUAAUACCGCAUACCAUCAGAUGUGCCCAGAUGGGAUUAGCUAGUAGGUGGGGUAAUGGCUCACCUAGGCGACGAUCCCUAGCUGGUCUGAGAGGAUGACCAGCCACACUGGGACUGAGACACGGCCCAGACUCCUACGGGAGGCAGCAGUGGGGAAUAUUGCACAAUGGGCGCAAGCCUGAUGCAGCCAUGCCGCGUGUAUGAAGAAGGCCUUCGGGUUGUAAAGUACUUUCAGCGAGGAGGCGUUACUCGCAGAAGAAGCACCGGCUAACUCCGUGCCAGCAGCCGCGGUAAUUC
rnacentral:rRNA from 1 species